rnacentral:lncRNA from 1 species
CCGCAGACACACUGAAGUCGCUAGACGUCGUGAGGAACACAUCCGGGGAAGAAGACACAGGUGGCUGGUCAUCGAGAGCCCGCUGGGGGAAGAGCACACAGACAGGCACCGGCAGGCCAUUGACCAGCGGGACAAGGGGUGCUCAAUGUCAUCACAAGGGUCCUUAAGAGGGAAAGAGGAAGCCAUGAGGGUCAGAGUCAAAGGAAGACUUGAAGAUACUACACUGAGGACUUUAAAGAUGAAGGAAGGGGCGAAAACCAAGAAUGUGGGAAGCCUCUAGAAGCUAGAGAAGGCAAGGAAACAGAUUUUCCACUAGAGCCUCCAGAAGGAACACAGCCCUGCUGACCCACUGUAAUGUCUGACCUCUAGAUGUGUAAGGGUAGUAAGACUGAAAGUCUCAGAAAGGCACUGUUACAUUCUUAUUCCACAACCAUGCAACUCAAAACUGGGGUCCUCAGCAAUGAGCGAGGGGCGAGAGAAGGCACUGUAUAAACAUGGCACAUCCUCCUGGAAAGUCAACUUUACUCAAAGGUUCUUACACACAGUGACAGCUAGCAGAGUCUAAAGUGCUGACAUUAUGACUUAGAGAUGUGAUAAAGAGAAACAUCUAUUGCAUUUUCUGUCUGGUUCCAGUGUCAUCUAUGGUGUGAUUCAUCUCCCAAUACCCCUGGGUGCAAUAAAACUGGUCCCUUCUUUGUACCCCAUAGCUCUUUGUUCCUCUCCUGGUACAUGAUAGCUGUUUCAGCAUCUUUUCACCCCUCCACACCAGGAACUCCUCAGUGAGUUCUGGAGAUCUAUGCCCUAUUCACCUUUCUGGAAAAUUUGAUACCUGUCUUCAAGGAGUUUCCAGUCUGGGCAAGGAAGCAGACAUAUAAACAUGGAAUUACAUUGCAAUUUGGAAAGUGAUGUAAAACAAUUAUCUAAAUUAGUGUACACAGAUGAGCACUAAUUUACUAGAGAAUCCUGCUUUUCUCAUAUAACAACUGAACAGUCGGCAUGUAGGUGUAGUCUGUUUCUUAAAAUAGCAAUGUUUUCCCAGUCUUCAUAUCAAUAUUUAUGUUGUUACUCAUGCUCUGUUAAAACAAAACAAAAUAAAACAAAAUCUCUCAAA